rnacentral:RNase_P_RNA from 1 species
GGGAGCAGGAGGGUCGCUGACAGUGUACGACACUGAGGAAAGUCNNAGUCGGAGGUCCGGGAGGGCCGGCUCUGCAACAGAAACGAACCGCGCCAGGCGUACGAUGAUCCCGUAAGGGUGAGGUUUCCUGACCGCGGCUGGAACGAGCAACCCCGCUGGAGCAAGUCCAAGCAGGUCCGUAAUGCAUCGACAGGACCGGGUAGGAUGCAAAGUUGAAUGCGACCAGCCAAAUGGUGAACAGAAAGGGGCUUACUCCCUGCACCC